AUUCAGUAUUGGAAAGCUAUUAGUGAGAAGAACAGAUGUGAAUCACAGACACCAUUCAGAAGGUGGAGACUAAGAAAAGUGAAAUCCUGUGCCAAGCCAUGGUGAGACUGCUGUCACAGGGAUGCAGGGAGACAACAACCUAGAUAGUGAAGAUGAAGCUUGAUACCAUCACCCUUUUAGCCCCCAAAAGUGACUUCUCCCAAAAAUCUGCUCAAAUUAUUCUCUACAAUGUAGUUUAAAUGGUGGGAGAUGUGCUGUGCAGCAAGAGUGCUCAAGGCACCCUGACAGCUAUAACAGAUGCAUGUUCACUGCCUUCAGCUGCAAAGACCUGUUAUUGGCCUUCUCCCAAAAGAACUCCAGGAUCCAGACCAAGAUCUUAGACUGGCUGUCAAAGGCAAUUCUAGAGUUUAACUUUGCUGGAAUGGAUGCCAAGCUGCUGGUAAAUAUCCUGAAGGUAGCUCUUGCUGCUGUAUAGCCCUUUGUGCAGAAACCAGCCAUCACUUUACGAGGGAUUAUUUACCUGUACGUGCAAGACUCACUCGCAGAGCUGAUGGAGAGUGAAAAGCUGCCCAUUCAUCCCCAGUAUAGAUGCUGAGCUGGAGAAAGUACAUGAGCAAAUCUCACUGGUUCCCAGUUUUGCCAGCCACAAGCCAGGACAUAAGACCCAGGAGGACCACAAGGAUCCCAGAAGGGUAGACGUCAAACAACUGGCCCAACAGCUAUCCAUCCUCUGUUCAGUUCCCUCAGACCUGCUUCCGUGUGUGCCUCACCUCUACUCCUGCCUGCAGGAUUACAACAUGGCCAUGUGCAUAGCCUUGCAGGCAGCCUUGCCCUUCUUAAUGCUCAUUAUCUUUGAAAAGAUGGCUGAAGUCACCACUGACUUGAAGGCUGCUACAAAGGGCCACAUACUUUUGACAAUGAGGAAUGCCAAUACCAGUCUGUCAGUUCCAUCCACUGCCUCUGCUGACUGACUUUCCAGGCACCCUGCAGUCAACAGCACAGUUUCCCUCCUGUGGCAACCAGCUCUUCUUCACAAGCAUCAACUAAAGAGCCAGCACACAAAACCAGCAAACAGAAGCAGGGUUUGAAGGAACCCCAGUCAGGAGAAGAGAUGAAAGACAAGGGUGGAGCCAAGCUAAAAGCACAAAUGAGGAUUACUCUGAGCGAUGUUGGCAACAAACAGCAGCAAGCUGGUAGGCUUAAGAGUCUCUCCCCAGACUCUGCCUCCACUUGCAGAAGAGCACAAGAGCAAGCUGUUCUCCAGAAAACACAGUCCCAUUAAACAGAAGGAUAUUGUUCACAGUUAGAAACAAUCCCUGAACACCGUACCUUACUUACCUCCUCAAACAGUGAUCCUGACAGCAGCAUGCAGGCAGUGAAAGAAUUAGAUAAGAUCCUGAGUCAGAAGCACAAAGCAGAAGCCACAUCUGGACACAAGAAUGAGUUCCUCAUAGCCAGCUUCCAACCUCUCAAGCUUAUCCAACAGCAAAAGCAAAGUGAUGAAAAAAGGGGGAAGGCCAAAAUCAUCCUGUGAGGCAACUGUGUCAUCCAGGCCUUGAUGCUUCUCUUCUAGGAGAAGAGACUGGCUCAGGAGGCCUCCAUGGAGGUGCUGAAGGAUGUACUACACAACCUCCUUACCUCCUUCAGGCUAUGCUGCCUGUAGGGGAACUGAGGGGAAGAACAGAAGCAUCAGUGUCCUUGUGAGAAGGGUCCUGAUAAAAUCUGACAAGACAAGCAUCUUCUGUGCCUUGCUCAAGCUGCUCUAAGGCAGCCUGACUGCUGGCAGCAGCCCAGAUAAGCUUUCUUAAUGGUUGGCUGUAUGCCUCUGGAGGACCACACAUCUUCUCCCUGGCGCUAUCAGCAUCAUUAACCUGGACAAAAUCCUCCCGGAUGUCCACCCAGUCAUGAAUUCUAUCCCAAAGGAGAAACUGAGUCAGUGAACAAAUGAUAUCCCAGUGUAGGCCCUGAAAAACUCUACUCAGCACUUUGUGUAAGCUGAAAGGGCUUAGGGUUCUGAGCCACCUCACCCUGAUAGAGAAUGCUGCAAGCAACCUCUCCUUGCAGAGGUAUUUGAAACCAAGCCUUGCCAUCACCCAGACAGAGCAGGACACCAAAAAAUGUCUUCCUCCUCAACCUUUGGUAGGUCACAUCCACUGGGGCAAAAGCAUCUCCUGCUGGAUUAGUAGGAAUGCCAGGAGGGACAGCUGUGGGGAAGCCAGUUACAUCAUCUUGCCACCAGCAAAAAGCAUUUCUACACAGCAGACUCCCAUCAUGGGGUACAAAGGCUGUCCUCCUCCCAUUGUUCUGGAGCUGCACAGCAGCAAGGUCCGCAGCAGCACCAAGAGCAACUGGUAGGAAGAGGAGCAGGAUCUGCAGCCAAGGUGAGCGUCUCAUCUGUGGCAUCAGAAAAAGCCAGGCCUCUUCCUCACACACAUCAACAGGCAGGUGGUGUGAAGCACUAACCAAUUAA
ensembl:lncRNA